AGUGAGAUGAAUUUCUUGAGAAAGGGUGAUCGGACAUUGGAACGAGCUGCCCAGGGAGGCGGUGGUGGAGUCACCGUCCCUGGAGGUGUUUUAGGGAAGGCUGGACGUGGCACUCGGUGUCUGACCGACACCGCGGUGUUCUGUCCUGGCUUGGACCCGAUGACCCCAGAGGUCUUUCCCAACCCGCUUGAUUCGGUGAUUCUGUUAAGUAUUUCUGAUUUAUUGAACUAUUUCUGAUUUAUGGAGUGUACCGUGAGCUAGAGCAUCUCCACCCAUGGCUUUCCAUCCCAGGUUCAUGGCCACAUUCAGGGCUGGGGAGCUGCCGUGCUGGUGCAGCAGCCCUGGGAAGCACACAGGUGCCAGAGGCCAAGUGUUGCUCCUGAGCUGGGCUGUGAUUUCCCUCUUUGUCAGAUAUUUCCCCUAUUUUUGCCUGAAGAUGCUUCCCAGUAGUGCUUGGGCUUCCCUGUGCACUGUGGUGACACCCAGUUGUGGUAGAAACCCCUGUGACCCUGCCUGCCAUAAAUACCCCCCAGCACCCUGCAGAAUCAAACUGCAGACCAGUGCCCUGUUAGCAGGAGGAGAGGGUGUGGGAAUUGGCAGGGUGCUGCUGAAUUCCAGUUUCAAGAGGUGGAUCCCUUUCCUGGGAUGGGCAGAGUGGAUUUCAUCCCUCCUGGCUGAAGCUCCCUAAAACCAAAAAUGAAAAGACCCUGCGAAUUUUACAUCCCAAUCCACUGAACCUGGGAGCAGCCCUUUUCAUUUUGUACCGUACAGGGCUCACUGCAUGCUGCCUUCUUGACAUCAGGGAAGAUGCUCCUGGAUCCACCAGGAAAAAAGUCCUGGCUUCACUCCAGUACUUCAGCAAAAUCCUGUUCCUUUUCUCUAGGCAUUGAUGGGAGCUUGCUGCUAUCUUAAAUGCAAGAUCAGCCCCAGUCCUGUCCUUCCUCUGUUCAUUAAAAUACAUUGAUUUAAACCUGUUGCUCUCUUUCUACAGCUCAGCUCUGCUGUGAUCCCACAUCCAACACCUGCAAGCCAAACAUAGCCUAGAUCAUCUCUGGAUAGGACUGGGGCAACUUUUGUACAGCUGUCAUUUUAAAGGAUAAUUACAAGCAUGACUUACAGGAUAAUAAGCAGAGAUAAAACUAAUUCCAGUAACCCAUCUCACUGUGGUGGAACCAGGGGAAAAACUCCUUUUCUGCGGUUUAUGGGAGGAAGGGAACAGUUGAGACUGAGCGCUGGUGCUGUCGUUGUCACUGAGGAGGUAACCAGAACGAGUCUGUCCAAAACCAGCAAAGUUUGGUAAAGCUUUUGAGCUAGAUUAAACUCAGGGAGAGGUUUAUCUGCUUGUGCAGCCUCCUGAAUCACCAGCUGGGGAUGCGCAGGGAGCGGCAAUUUUGGGUUGAGUAGACAGAGGAACGUCAAAGAGAGGUCUAACUGCCCCAAAUGACAAAGAACCUUUUGCUCCCCCAGUGCCUGAUGUCACCAUCUCAGCCAGGGCAUUCAGCAUCUUCCAGGAACCCAGGGCUGCAUCACAAAGGAACAACGGGAUAGAGGCACCAAACCCCUGCCUGGUUUUAUGCCUCAUAAACAAACUGCCUCGUAAAUAUGCCUUGUAAAUAAAAUAAAUAAAUACA